rnacentral:siRNA from 1 species
AGGAUUAAUCUGUAUUUGUUGGA